rnacentral:lncRNA from 1 species
UUCUCAAUCUUCACUUUCUCUGAAUACCCAACUUUCAACAGACCUCUCAACUCUCCACACCCAAACGGCGGCCCUCGAUUCUCAACCUCUCUUAGCCAUUUUGGUUCUUUGAAAACCAUAAAACCCUCCUACCAACCUUGUAUUAUCCUCCAAAUCGAUCAAUCAUCCCUAACACUAUCGUAGAUCUGGACAAAUAGCCGCAUGCAACCCAUAAAAAUGACUACUUAACUCUUCGAUUUCAAGUUCCACUUAGAUGAAACAUCUGAAUCUUUUGGUGAGAUAUAACUAUUUAGAUAAGAAAUUUCUUACUUUCUUCUUUCUGCUCUCACUAUAAUAAUCGUUUUUGUUUAAUUUUCCUCUGCUAUUUUACUGGUUUUGGGUGAAAUGGGUGGAGCAUUUUGCUUGGGGAGUAUAUGAUGAUAGGUGUUUUGAUGAUGGAUUUUGUUAUUUGACUGCAGUUUGAUUUUGUUAAUAUGUAAAAUCUUUGUUUUACUGGGUUUUCUGUUUGAGGAUGAAUGAGUCAGAUUAAAUUUAUCUUCUUUAUUUUUUGAACUUUUUUUGUCGAUGGGAAUCUAUGGGUAUCCGUCACUUGACGGUGACGGUAUGCACUUUCCACCCGUUUGGCUGUCGGGGACGGGGUCGGGGAAACCUGACGAUUGCGGUGGGCGGGGAUCGGAUACACCAAACCCGUUCCCGAUCCGCCAUGAUGCCAAGCCUAGUAGUAGUCGGAUGACUCACUUUUCGACCUGAUAAGUUUUAGUUUUAUCCGGAUUUAAUAUUAUUAGGAUAUUAACUUAAUGUUUUACUGGUUAGUACACUUUUUAUAGCCAUUAAAUUUUUAGUGUUUUUAUCUAAUAAUUAUGAUUUAAAAACGAAAAUUGAGAUAGACGGUACUUUUGUUAAAAUUCAUUAUUAUUCACAGUUUAUUUAAAAAAAAUCAAAACAAAAAAUUGGAAAUAGAAUUCCCAAAAUCACAUUCCAUUAUCUUCAAAACAACCAAAUAUCCUUUUCUCCCUAUCAAAACAAAAACCCUCAUCUUCUCCUUUUUGAUGAAAAUCACCGGAAUUUUCAGAGUUUCAACUCCUUUCCUUCGGAUAUUUGAGUUCCAGAUUCAUCAUCCGAUUCUUCUUAUUCUGGCGGCUGCGGGUUGAGUAAGUCGACGGCGAUUCGAUUGGUUGGUCUCUUCUCUAUUUCGACAAUAGAAUAAAAUACCCUAAACUGUUAAGGUAUGUUUUUUGCGGAGUUGUCGCCGCAGGAACAAACUCCUUAUACAUUGACUACUGACUCCGACCUCCAGUUUGUUUUAGAUCCUCAAAAGGUUAGUUGUUGAUUUUUCAGAUUCAAUCUAUUUUUUGAUUUUUAAUUACCCACUUAUUACAGAUUCACCAUUUUUUUCUCUUUGGUUUGUUCCAAAUUUGAUCUUGUCGUUGAUUAUGCUGCCUAAACAGGCUAUUCAUUCCCGAGUGCCACACAUCCAUAUCAUCCAAUUAUUUUCGACUAAUCUAUUUACUAACUGUUCCCAUUGUAAUUAUGUAGGUACUAAGAUUAAUGUGGCAUAGGAGGAUAUCCUAAACUAGAGAAAAUUUGCGCCCAAAUUACAUAAGCAAUAACUCCUCAUCUGCGAUCGCCCUAAAUCUAUUUUUAUGAGAAAAUGUUUGUUUUCGUUCCUUAUUAUCGAUUCAUAUGCGAAAGUGAUAUGCUCGGCGGACGUCCCAGGUUCAUGAAAACACAUGCAUUAGGUGAUAGAUAGGGAGUGAGGGGGGAAGUAAACAAGUUUGUUAUUGGUGAUAAUUUGUCUUAAAAUUUAUAGGUAUGGAGUAUGAAAAAGAAUUUAGCCUUUGAGAUUAUUCUGCAU